rnacentral:rRNA from 1 species
GGCUUAGAGUUUGAUCAUGGCUCAGGAUGAACGCUGGCGGCGUGCCUAACACAUGCAAGUCGAACGAAGCACUUUACUUUGAUUUCUUCGGAUUGAAAAGUUUUGUGACUGAGUGGCGGACGGGUGAGUAACGCGUGGGUAACCUGCCUCACACAGGGGGAUAACAGUUAGAAAUGGCUGCUAAUACCGCAUAAGACCACAGCACCGCAUGGUGCAGGGGUAAAAACUCCGGUGGUGUGAGAUGGACCCGCGUCUGAUUAGCUAGUUGGUAAGGUAAGGGCUUACCAAGGCGACGAUCAGUAGCCGACCUGAGAGGGUGACCGGCCACAUUGGGACUGAGACACGGCCCAAACUCCUACGGGAGGCAGCAGUGGGGAAUAUUGCACAAUGGGGGAAACCCUGAUGCAGCGACGCCGCGUGAGUGACGAAGUAUUUCGGUAUGUAAAGCUCUAUCAGCAGGGAAGAAACUGACGGUACCUGACUAAGAAGCACCGGCUAAAUACGUGCCAGCAGCCGCGGUAAUACGUAUGGUGCAAGCGUUAUCCGGAUUUACUGGGUGUAAAGGGAGCGUAGACGGAUAGGCAAGUCUGGAGUGAAAACCCGGGGCUCAACCCCGGGACUGCUUUGGAAACUGUUUAUCUAGAGUGCUGGAGAGGUAAGUG